UACGAAGGGGGCUAGCGUUGCUCGGAAUCACUGGGCGUAAAGGGUGCGUAGGCGGGUCUUUUAAGUCAGGGGUGAAAUCCUGGAGCUCAACUCCAGAACUGCCUUUGAUACUAGGAUCUUGAGUUCGGGAGAGGUGAGUGGAACUGCGAGUGUAGAGGUGAAAUUCGUAGAUAUUCGCAAGAACACCAGUGGCGAAGGCGGCUCACUGGCCCGAUACUGACGCUGAUGCACGAAAGCGUGGGGAGCAAACAGG
rnacentral:rRNA from 1 species